rnacentral:lncRNA from 1 species
GAGGAGAAGAAAAGGAUGAGAAGAUAUUACUAUCUGGUGGGGAGUUCAGUGUGGGGUGGAGCUUCAGGAGCCAGGAGGAGCCAAGAGUGAGGUGGAGCUCUAAGUGGAGAUGGAUCGGGCACGAGAUGGGAGACUCGAGAGGACGAGAGGCGACGUCGCAAGGUGUGAUUUUUAUUACCGCAGGAGACUUCCCCGAGCAGAUCUUUGAUCAGAGUGGACACAACCC